rnacentral:lncRNA from 12 species
CUACUAUUAUCAGGAACAGUAGUAGAGUAGUAAUGGUAGACUCAUAUUUAUCUACCUUAAAUCCUGUCUCAUUUUCUAUUCAGUGAAAUGAGAUACCAAUCUGUAUCAAAAGGCUGCUGUGAAACCAAAUGAUGGUGUAUGUCAAAGAACUUUGUAAAUGUGAAAGCUUUAUCCAGAUGUGAGUUAUUAUUAAAUGUUAAGAUUCAGCUACUAUCAUGAGCCCCAGGGCCCAGCUCCAUUUCCCCUUCCCCAUGGGCCCCAGGGCCCAGCUCCAUUUCCCCUUCCCCAUGGGACACAUACAAUGUACCCUCUACCUUGCUUUUGGCCCCACAGUCUCCAGUUCCUCCAGUUGCUGGGUCAGAUCAUCCUCCAGAACCAAAGGGACCAAGAACCUCAGCUCCAGAUGCAGGAAGGAGUGGGAAGUUGGAAUCAGUGAUCAAACUGCUGCUCCACAGAGGGAGCCUCUCCUGAAACUGCACCAUGGACUUGGGCUAAAAAUGAGCCUAAAGGCCCUGACAUCAAUGCACGGAAUUGGGAGCAAGGAACUGUCUUUAUUCCAGAACUGAGCUGAUACCUCCUGAAGGUGAAUCAACAGCUAUCUAAGGAGGAAGAGAUCAUUUCUGCUGUCCCACAUUCGACCUCCAUCCUGGACUGAAAUUGGUAUUGAACAUCUACUGCAUGUAAGCAUAUAACCUCCAUUAUCUAUAGUCUUUAUGAGAACUCUGUGAAAUGUUGUUAUACUAGGUCUUCGGAUAAAGAAACUGAGGCUCGAAAGAAUCAAGUGACUUUGGCAGAUUAUAGUUUCAAAAGAUGGUCUUAGCAAUAUUUCCUGCUGCGUGGCUCAUCCAGAGUCUUGCCUCUCUCCUACCCAGAGGGGAAGUCCAUUUUUUUCUCCCCUAUAAACUUGGCAGGAUUUUGUGAUUGCCUCAAGAGGUAGAAUGUUGUAAAGGUGAUGCUACAUGACUUCUCAGGUUGUUUUAAUAAAAGGUGACAUUGUUAUAUCUAGCUCUUUCUC